AGCCUGAACGCUGGCGGCGUGGCUAAGACAUGCAAGUCGAACGGAUGUAGCAAUACAUCAGUGGCGGACGGGUGAGUAAUGAAUCGCUAAUGUACCCCGGAGCCAGGGAUAGCUGCCCGAAAGGGCAGGUAAUACCUGAUGAGACCACGAACAGGCAUCUGUUUGUGCUCAAAGCAGCAAUGCACUCUGGGAGCAGGCGAUUUUGUAUCAGCUUGUUGGUGAGGUAAUGGCUCACCAAGGCGACGACGCAUAGCUGGUCUGAGAGGACGGCCAGCCACAUUGGGACUGAGACACUGCCCAGACUCCUACGGGGGGCUGCAGUAACGAAUCUUCCGCAAUGCACGAAAGUGCGACGGAGCGACGCCGCGUGUAGGAUGAAGUCCUUCGGAUGUAACUACUGUCAGGGUAAGAAGUUCUGAUCUACCCAGAGGAGGACGGCUAACUCUGCGCCAGCAG
rnacentral:rRNA from 1 species